rnacentral:lncRNA from 1 species
GUGGUGGUGGUGGUGGUGGCGGGGCAGAACCUGAUGAAGUAGAUGCUGGUGGUGGUUGCACGCUUGUUGAAGCUGGUCCACUCACAGGUGGUGGAGGUCUUGAUGGUCCAGAGUGUUGAUAAUGUUGAGGUGGGCCUCGAGGUGGAGGCAUUGCUGAAUGGUAUGGUGGAUACUGUUGAUAAGGUGGCAUUGGUUGCAUGUACCCGUAUGGCGGAUAAUGUUGAUGAGGAUAUUGUCCAGGUGGAGGCGGCGGCAUACCUUGGUAAGAAUAGUGUUGUGCUUGUUGUUUAUCUGACCCAGGUUUGUUCUCCCCAUCCUUAGACGGAACCAGAGCACCCAUUCUUUGAGGGUCCAUUGAUGGAUAGUAGGCUCUAUCUAUCUGAGGUGGAGGUGGGAUAUUAAAGUACUGCAUAG